GAGACGUGUGAACUGGUGUGUGGGUGGCCUCUGAGCUGCGGUGGCUCAGGGUUUGUCUUGUGGGGAGGAGUCCCGAGGUGGAACGUGACAGACCGACUUGGGGCCUCUGUCAAUUACAAUUGUUAAUUGUAAUCGGGCAAUUACAGCACAAGUGAUAAUCUCCGAGAUGCGGGAUGUAGGAGCAGCGUGUAAGGGCCUGGAGGACGAGGUUUCGGAGCCAAAACAUUGAGGUGUGGCUUAGGACCAGGCCGUGGGGCGACGUGUUUAAAGCCUGGGGCCUCGAGAGCUCGAGUCCCCAGUGAGCAGGGCUGCCGCUAUGAAAGGACUCUCGAGUCGCACAGAGGAGGCGUACAAAAAAUGCAUCAACAACUACCAUCUGCUUACAGCCCCUUCAGACUUGUACUAUUGCAAGAGAGGGUGCGCCCACACUCGUCUGGACCGCUCCAUCUGUUCAGAAGGCUUCCUAAAGAGUCAGAGAAACACAAGCGUCCCUGCCUCUCCUGCCGUAGUCUUUAUCAGUUCUAAAACAAGGGAUUACUCAAAUCUUCCAAACAUCUAAUUCUGCUGUCACUACA